ACGCCUAACACAUGCAAGUCGAACGCAGUAGCAAUACUGAGUGGCAAACGGGUGAGUAUAAUGUGGGAAUCUGCCUUUUGGUUUGGAAUAACACGGGGAAACUUGUGCUAAUACCGGAUAAGCCCUUACGGGGAAAGUUUUAACGCCGAAAGAUGAGCCUGCACUUGAUUAGCUAGUUGGUAAGGUAAAAGCUUACCAAGGCAACGAUCAAUAGCUGUUCUUAGAGGAAGACCAGCCACAUUGGGACUGAGACACGGCCCAGACUCCUACGGGAGGCAGCAGUGGGGAAUCUUGCACAAUGGGGGAAACCCUGAUGCAGCGAUGCCGCGUGAGUGAAGAAGGCCCUUGGGUUGUAAAACUCUUUCGUCGGGGAAGAAAAUGACUGUACCCGAAUAAGAAGGUCCGG
rnacentral:rRNA from 1 species